UACGUAGGGGGCAAGCGUUGUCCGGAAUCAUUGGGCGUAAAGAGCGUGUAGGCGGUCCGGUAAGUCGGCUGUGAAAGUCCAGGGCUCAACCCUGGGAUGCCGGUCGAUACUGCCGGACUAGAGUUCGGAAGAGGCGAGUGGAAUUCCCGGUGUAGCGGUGAAAUGUGUAGAUAUUCGGAAGAACACCAGUGGCGAAGGCAGCGAACUGGCGCUCGAUUGACGCUCAGGCACGAAAGCAUGGGGAUCAAACAGG
rnacentral:rRNA from 1 species